UACGGAGGGUGCAAGCGUUAUCCGGAUCCACUGGGUUUAAAGGGUGCGUAGGCGGGCAGAUAAGUCAGUGGUGAAAUCUCCGAGCUUAACUCGGAAACUGCCGUUGAUACUAUUUGUCUUGAAUGUCGUUGAGGUCAGCGGAAUAUGUCAUGUAGCGGUGAAAUGCUUAGAUAUGACAUAGAACACCUAUUGCGAAGGCAGCUGACUAAGCGAAUAUUGACGCUGAGGCACGAAAGCGUGGGGAUCAAACAGG
rnacentral:rRNA from 1 species